rnacentral:rRNA from 1 species
UACGUAGGGUGCGAGCGUUGUCCGGAAUUAUUGGGCGUAAAGAGCUCGUAGGCGGUGUGUCGCGUCGGCCGUGAAAACCUGCAGCUUAACUGUGGGCUUGCGGUCGAUACGGGCAUCACUGGAGUUCGGCAGGGGAGACUGGAAUUCCUGGUGUAGCGGUGAAAUGCGCAGAUAUCAGGAGGAACACCGGUGGCGAAGGCGGGUCUCUGGGCCGAUACUGACGCUGAGGAGCGAAAGCAUGGGUAGCGAACAGG